CCUACGGGAGGCAGCAGUGGGGAAUAUUGGACAAUGGGGGGAACCCUGAUCCAGCCAUGCCGCGUGUGUGAAGAAGGCCCUCGGGUUGUAAAGCACUUUCAGUGAGGAAGAACGCCUGGUGGUUAAUACCCAUCAGGAAAGACAUCACUCACAGAAGAAGCACCGGCUAACUCCGUGCCAGCAGCCGCGGUAAUACGGAGGGUGCGAGCGUUAAUCGGAAUUACUAGGCGUAAAGCGCGCGUAGGUGGCUUGAUAAGCCGGUUGUGAAAGCCCCGGGCUCAACCUGGGAACGGCAUCCGGAACUGUCAAGCUAGAGUGCAGGAGAGGAAGGUAGAAUUCCCGGUGUAGCGGUGAAAUGCGUAGAGAUCGGGAGGAAUACCAGUGGCGAAGGCGGCCUUCUGGACUGACACUGACACUGAGGUGCGAAAGCGUGGGUAGCAAACAGGAUUAGAUACCCGAGUAGUC
rnacentral:rRNA from 1 species